CCUACGGGAGGCAGCAGUGAGGAAUAUUGGUCAAUGGACGCGACUCUGAACCAGCCAAGUAGCGUGCAGGAUGACUGCCCUACGGGUUGUAAACUUCUUUUAUAAGGGAAUAAACUGAGUCACGUGUGCCUUUUUGUAUGUACUUUAUGAAUAAGGAUCGGCUAAUUCCGUGCCAGCAGCCGCGGUAAUACGGAGGAUCCGAGCGUUAUCCGGAUUUAUUGGGUUUAAAGGGAGCGUAGAUGGGUUGUUAAGUCAGUUGUGAAAGUUUGCGGCUCAACCGUAAAAUUGCAAUUGAUACUGGGAGGCUUGAGUACAGUGGAGGUAGGCGGAAUUCGUGGUGUAGCGGUGAAAUGCUUAGAUAUCACGAAGAACUCCGAUUGCGAAGGCAGCUUACUAAACUGCCACUGACAUUGAUGCUCGAAGGUGUGGGUAUCGAACAGGAUUAGAUACCCGAGUAGUC
rnacentral:rRNA from 1 species